GCGACCCCAGGAUGGGCGGGACCACCCGCCGAGUUAAGCU
rnacentral:rRNA from 1 species